rnacentral:tRNA from 1 species
GGUCCCAUAGUCUAGUGGUUAGGACACUGUAUUUUAAAUUCAGGAACUUGAGUUCAAAUCUCGGUGGGACCU